GGUUGCACACUCUCAUGUUUUCCCCUUUCCACAAUUUCCACAAUAAUGAUUUCACACGUUUACACAAGUAUUUAUUUCAAUAGUGAUUUCGAUCACUUUUCCAUCCUUAUUACCUCGACCACCCUUAUUACCUCGUCCACCCUUAUCAGCACAACGUACACCUUAUAACUUUGUGUUGCGACGCACAACCCGACCCCGCCGUAUAGUUUCAAUUCACAAACAACACAACCACAACAAUCAAUUCACUAAGAUUAACAACAAUACUUCUCAAUACGUAACCACAACGAUAUUACAAGUAUUUCCAUAACCAAUAGUACCAAUUUCAUCAUAUUCAACAGUUCACAUGCAAUUCAAGUAACCAUAACAAAUGCCGAUUUCACCAUUUAUGAAUCCCUUUAGUCAUUUAUUCCUAGACUUUUACCACAAGAUGUAUUCACAAUCAUACAAGUCACAAGAAGCUCACAAAUAACCCACAAAAAAUAUCAACUACCAAUCAAUUCACACACCAAACAAGGCGAUUUCACAAGGAUCAAUGUUAGCCAUACAUACCUGGAGUCUAAUCCCUUUUUAAACUCCUAUUCUUAGUCACCAAGCAAUCUAGCCACGUCAAUCUAAUUCACAAAUUAACACAUGUACCUUAGAAUUGAAGUUCACAAUUACCACCCGGAUUAUUUAGGUUAUCAAGCACACUUCUUUACUUCUAACCAAUUUCCCCUUACUAGAUUUUAGCUUUUGAAAGACAUGCAUGUGAGUUUCCACCAUUAUUUCAAAAAUCAAAGCACGAGACUCCCUCUCUAGGUUUAAAUCUGAAAAUUGGGGAAAAAGGUUAGGGACUAUAAGAGUGAGGAUGAAGGUAGUAAAUUAGAAUUUUCCAGCCCGGAUAGUUUUGGAGAAUCAAUUUGAUAUGAGCCCUUUCUCCCUCAAGAACUCUCUCUUCUCUCUCUCUCUUAUUUUGUUCAGAAAAUAUGCAAAAAUGAGGAGUAGAGGUAUUUUAUUAGAAAAAAGAUCGGGUUUAAAUUUUUUUUAGAAAAUUAAAGCACGUGCAGGAUCUGCGGUCGCACUCUGCAAUUGAGAGUUGAUAUAAGGUCCACAGAUUGGACCGCAGUAGGGUCCCAAAUUGUUGUCCUCUCUGCUUGGGCAUGCGAUGGGAAUGCUGUCCGCAUUCCUAUUAUGCCGCCGCAUAUUGCACCGCAGAACUGACCUUCUCAAAUCCUCGAGAAAUUUAUGCGACGAUUAUGCUGUUCGCAUAUUGGUUAUGCGAUCGCAUAAUGGACCGAAUUUUAAAUAUCAAAUUUAGCUAACUCCCUUAUUAAAUCUGCGGCAGAGAUGCGUUCCGCAUACCUGAUCUACUACCGCAUUCUUGAUCGCAGAAAUGACAUUUUUCCGGAAAACUUUGACUCUAGAUUUUUAAGUAUAAAAUCAGUAGAAAGGGUCCCAACACAUAGGUGGACUUGACCCUAUGAGUUUCUAGGAAUUGAGUACUCAUUUUUACGGGGUCUUACAUCCUCCCCCACAUAAGAUCAUUCGUCCUGGAAUGAGGACUUUGAAACCCAAAUGUUUUGAAAACAUGAUAUGCAAGCUCCUAAGUUUUCACUAACUCUCAUAUUUUAGAAAAUUUUAGUCAGAGUUUCCUUUGAAAUAUGGACAUAUCCACAUUGUGGACCUGACUCUAUGAGUUUCUAAGAUUUGAGAACUCCUUUUCAUGAGGUCUUACAAUUUUGGCACUAUUGUGGUAUGUUGUAGACCAUUCUGCUAGGUUAUUGAUGUUCUGCUUGUGAUCAUGUUAGGCUCCUAUGUAAGAAAUCUGUAUGUAAAAUUGAUAUCCCUUUGACUAUAACUACUACUGUUAAGGCUCAUGUGUUUAAAGUUUUUUUGACUAACUCUGACUAAUAUCUUCUGCUAAACUUGAUUUCUGAAAACUUAGCAUGAGUGUGUAUGUGUUUACCCUAUUAACCCAAUAGACCUACUUCUUAUGUCCUCCUAAUGUGUGACUGUGUUCAGCAUGCUACAGCAUUUCCUUUGUUGAAUGAUUUCUCAAUAUAUUGUUAGCUUUCUAUGUCAAAUUUGCUAUAUUAAAGCUGGUUCACGCUGGUCCACCUAGUUGGCAUGUUCAAACCCUCUUGUUUGACCAAUCUUGUUCCCUUAGCUUCUAAUAGAAAGUAACGAUAUGUAAUCAUGUCCCUAUGAAGUAUUAUUGUUAAAAGACUUCAGAGUUGUUAAUUGGUUGCCGUGUAUAGUUCCUCUAUCUAAGUCUUGUACGAGUUCAUGUGUGGCUCCGGGUUGUGCAAUUGAUACACUAUCAUGUUUGAGGUGUGCUUGGAGUUGGGCUACUCUUUGUGCGAAAAGUGAUCUUGUUGAAUUUCUCUUUUAGACUUGCUCUGUUUAUUAGGCAUGUGGUCUUUCAGUAUGUAAUAUUUGCACUUGUAUUUAUUAUUUUUGAACUAUAAUAAUUUACAAACAACAGAUGGAGAAAUUAGUAAGAAUGGAGAUCUGGUACUUUAAUUCUCAAAUGAAUAGGUAGAAAAUAUGCC
rnacentral:lncRNA from 1 species